rnacentral:lncRNA from 1 species
AUGCUUUUCCUAUUACUUUGUGUUGGAUGUGUUGCUUUGUCUGCAGGGCAAUCCUUUGCUUCAACACCUACAAUGGGACCAUGGGCUACCACGACACAGGUGACAACACCUCCAACUCUUACUACCCCUUAUGUGGACCCACCUUUUGGUACUAAACCCCUGGAAAGUGGAUUUGCAAUUCUUCAGGUCGCUGUCCAAUCUUAUCAGGAGCUAAAUGAGACUACAGCUGAUCCAGUCUUGAGUCAGAUCUACGACAUCGUUCGGGCGAAGCGACCUGAUCUGAAAUUUCGACUGACCGUGAAAACUGUCCAGAAAGUUUGAUGGAUUAUGAUCCAAGGCAUAGCAGAUUGAAGUUCUAGUGGUACAUCAUGUUCUGCAGAUGUGAACUAUUGUACUGUAUUUUCAAUGAUUUUAUGCUGUUUAUCAGUCAUUAUAUUCAUGUUAAUAAUAUAUUUGAAUGUAUAAUUUCAUUGACUUAUUGACUUGCUGCGCAUUCCAAUCACCAUCUGGGGGAGGAGCUGUAAUUCAAGAGUUAUGUCACAACUUUUCCCACUUUCAUAGAAUCUUGUCAUCUGCGUCCAGUGUUUUCUGAUGGAUUUGAUGUUGGACUGAAUAGUCCUAACUACUGUAAUCUUUUCUUUGGCUAUAAACAUGUUACAAAUGCUGCAACUGUUCUCACACUCAUGUUAAUUCAACGGAUCUUUUUUUAAAUUUCAAACAUAAGGUGACUUCCCUGAAAAGAACAGUCCACCCCAACCCCCAAAAAAUGUAUAUAUUAUUUUUUUCAUUCAUAAAAAAAAUCAUGACAAUGUGUACAAACUAAGCUAAACCUUUAACUACUAGCCACAUUUAUGCAAGCAAGGGGUUUCCCUCCAAAGCUAAAUCAAUUGGUGUAUUAAUUUACAACAGAAACAUGAAAAUUGUUAAGCGUUUUUAAUUGAGUGUUCACAAAUAUCAACGUAAAAAAUGUACCAUGUACAUUUUAGAACGACGUUUGAAACCAAGUCACGUAGGCCUGUUAUUAUGAACAUACAGAACCAGAGGCUCCAGAGAGUGUAGCCUACAUUUAUUUUAUUUUACCUGAGUAGCCAGCAGCAUACCAUCCUGCAUCCCACUGACCAGGACCAACCCUGCUUAGCUUCAGAAGCAAGCCAGCAGUGGUAUGCAGGGUGGUAUGCUGCUGGCAAAUGGAUAUGUAUGCAACAACAGUUUAACAUUCUCCUUCUGCUACCAUUUCUAUCAAGCCGUCUACGCAGACAGUUUGACGCAUACGUUCGAUAAAUCCAAGGUAUAAACCAAGCCGAACGCACUGCAACUGCCUCUGAAACGCAAUGCUGCAAGGCAAACGCAGCGUUUCGUUGGAAAUGAAUGUAAUUCUGGUGUACCAAAAUGCAAAAACACUGUCGGUGUGAUCGAAGCAUUUAGUCGCAUGUCCGGGACACGCAUGUCCGGGACACGCAUGGUAUACAUCCUUCAACGAAAUGUUUACUUUUAGUAGGGAUAUACUCUUACCUACAAUCCGGUCUUUGAGGCUGCAAUAGUUGGCUAUCCAAGACUCUGAGAUGGCAUCACCCGGGUAAAGAACAGAAGUGUCACCUGAGAACAUGCAGGAGGCCACAGUGUGUGGAAGGGAAGAAUAAUUGAUGGAUUGCUUUGCGAUGGAGACAAAAUGACCUAAAUCCUCACAAUAUGUCACUUUGACCAAAUGUGCUCCUGGCUGAAUAAUUUUGCACGCCCAAUUUUUCAGUUUUUGAUUUGUUAAAAAAGUUUGAAAUAUCCAAUAAAUGUCAUUCCACUUCAUGAUUGUGUCCCACUUGUUGUUGAUUCUUCACAAAAAAAUACAGUUUUAUAUAUUUAUGUUUGAAGCCUGAAAUGUGGCAAAAGGUCGCAAAGUUCAAGGGGGCCGAAUACUUUCGCAAGGCACUGUAUGUGCUUGGUGUUCAGGGAAUGUGUUUGGUGUUCAGGUCAUGUGUAUGUGUUUGGUGUUCAGAGAAUGUGUAUCAGUGGCGGUCAGUGCCAUUGUAGAUGAGGGAGGACAUGGACAGAUAGUGACAUUCAAUACCGCCUUGUACACUAGUGCCUGCAUCAACUGAUAUAGGGUGUAAUCAUUAGUCCAACAGUUGCAAACAAGUGUCGGGCUGUGGCGGUCACGAAAUUUCGUCAGCCUGUGAUUGUCAAACAAAUAACUGUUGGUUUUACGGUAAUUAACAUAAACACAUUUAGCAUCUCCUGGCUUCCACACAAGCCAUUUUAAAAAGUCUAAUAAAUCCAUGUAAUAUAGCCUAAACCUUCACAAUAAAUCCAUUAUUUAUUUUAGACAUGUCUAAAGAAGCAUGAUUUGAAGAAAAUGUAGUAAAUUUCAGAAGAAAAGAAUAAUACUCUGAGUUAUCCUUAUGUUAGGUCCUGAUCUGACUAUGCCAAAUGACUGUGGGCUACACUAGUUCAUUUAGCAGACAAUAUUUGCUUAUAAUUCAGUAACAUUAUUUUAUAGUAUGAAGAAUGCAAUUGAAAAAAGCUGAAUAAAACAAACAUUUUCUUCAAACGAUUUGAGGGAGUGUGCACAUUGUGUUGAGCAGUUAACAAAGAAAUAGGUAUGCUUAAUUUAGAGUUAUUAAUGUAACUUUAGUUGUUCAACAAACAUUGGGCU